rnacentral:rRNA from 1 species
UGAAUACGAGAUGCUACGGCGUCGAAGCAGUGUAUGUCAGACUUCCAAGAAAAGCUCGCAAUGUCAUAAAUAAAGAAUGCCUGUACCAUAACCGACACAGGUGGGUAGGUAGAGUAUACUAAGGGGCGCGAGAUAACUCUCUCUAAGGAACUCGGCAAAAUAACUCCGUAACUUCGGGAGAAGGAGUGCCUUCUUUAAGAAGGUUGCAAUAACAAGAUCCAAGCAACUGUUUAUCAAAAACACAGGUCUCCGCUAAGUCGUAAGACGAUGUAUGGGGGCUGACGCCUGCCCAGUGCCAGAAGGUUAAAGAAGCUGGUUAGCAAUAGCGAAGCUGGUGACUGAAGCCCUGGUGAACGGCGGCCGUAACGAUAACGGUCCUAAGGUAGCGAAAUUCCUUGUCGGGUAAGUUCCGACCCGCACGAAAGGCGUAAUGAUUUGGAUACUGUCUCGGAGAGGGACUCGGUGAAAUAGACUUGUCUGUGAAGAUGCGGACUACCUGCACCAGGACAGAAAGACCCUAUGAAGCUUUACUGUAACCUGAAAUUGAAAUUGGACUUUAUUUGCGCAGUAUAGGUGGGAGGCGUUGAAAGUAAUCUUGCGGGAUUAGUGGAGCCAUCAGUGAGAUACCACUCCUGUAAUGUUAGAUUUCUAACUUUGGAUCAUGAUCUGGUCAAAGAACAGUUUCAGGCGGGCAGUUUGACUGGGGCGGUCGCCUCCCAAAUGGUAACGGAGGCGUACAAAGGUUUCCUCUGAACGGGUAGAAAUCGUAUCUAGAGUGUAAAGGCAUAAGGAAGCUUGACUGUGAGACCUACAAGUCGAGCAGGGACGAAAGUCGGUCUUAGUGAUCUGACGGUGCUGAGUGGAAAGGCCGUCACUCAACGGAUAAAAGUUACUCUAAGGAUAACAGGCUGAUCUCCCCCAAGAGUUCACAUCGACGGGGAGGUUUGGCACCUCGGUGUCGGCUCAUCGCAUCCUGGGGCGGUAGUACGUCCCAAGGGUUGGGCUGUUCGCCCAUGAAAGCGGUACGCGAGCUGGGUUCAGAACGUCGUGAGACAGUUCGGUCCAUAUCCGGUGUAGGCGUUAGAAUAUUGAGAGGAGCCUUCUCUAGUACGAGAGGACCGAGAAGGACAUACCUCUGGUGUACCAGUUAUCGUGCCAACGGUAAACGCUGGGUAGCUAUGUAUGGAGAGGAUAACCGCUGAAAGCAUCUAAGUGGGAAGCCCACCUCAAGAUGAGUAUUCUCAU